GUUUUAAAGAUUAAUAAUUAAUUUUAAGUCAAAUCUGCCCAAUGAAUUAAUUUAAAUGGCUGCAGUUUAUUCUGUACUAAGGUAGCAUAAUAAUUUGUUUUUUAAUUAAAAACUAGAAUGAAAGAUUUAAUGAAAUAUAAACUGUUUCAAUUAAAUUAAUAUUUAAUUUUUUAUUUAAGUAAAAAAACUUUAAUAAAAUUUAAAGACGACAAGACCCUAUAGAAUUUUAUUUAUUUUUUUUUUAUCAAAUUAAAAUAAAUUUUAUUGGGGUAAUAAAAAAAUUUAAAAAAUUUUUUUUAAAUUAAACAUAACUAAAUGAUUUAAUUAUAUCUUAUAUAUAAAUUAAAAAAAUUAAUUACCUUAGGGAUAACAGCAUAAUUUUUUUUA
rnacentral:rRNA from 1 species